CCUACGGGAGGCAGCAGUGGGGAAUUUUGGACAAUGGGCGAAAGCCUGAUCCAGCAAUGCCGCGUGAGUGAAGAAGGCCUUCGGGUUGUAAAGCUCUUUUGUCAGGGAAGAAACGGUGAGAGCUAAUAUCUCUUGCUAAUGACGGUACCUGAAGAAUAAGCACCGGCUAACUACGUGCCAGCAGCCGCGGUAAUACGUAGGGUGCAAGCGUUAAUCGGAAUUACUGGGCGUAAAGCGUGCGCAGGCGGUUUUGUAAGUCUGAUGUGAAAUCCCCGGGCUCAACCUGGGAAUUGCAUUGGAGACUGCAAGGCUAGAAUCUGGCAGAGGGGGGUAGAAUUCCACGUGUAGCAGUGAAAUGCGUAGAUAUGUGGAGGAACACCGAUGGCGAAGGCAGCCCCCUGGGUCAAGAUUGACGCUCAUGCACGAAAGCGUGGGGAGCAAACAGGAUUAGAUACCCUGGUAGUCCACGCCCUAAACGAUGUCUACUAGUUGUCGGGUCUUAAUUGACUUGGUAACGCAGCUAACGCGUGAAGUAGACCGCCUGGGGGAGUACGGUCGCAAGNUUAAAACUCAAAGGAAUUGACGG
rnacentral:rRNA from 1 species